rnacentral:rRNA from 1 species
CACGUAGGCACCAAGCGUUGUCCGGAUUUAUUGGGCGUAAAGAGCUCGUAGGCGGUCUGUCGCGUCGAAUGUGAAAACCCGGGGCUCAACUCCGGGCUUGCAUUCGAUACGGGCAGGCUAGAGUUCGGUAGGGGAGUCUGGAAUUCCUGGUGUAGCGGUGAAAUGCGCAGAUAUCAGGAGGAACACCCGUGGCGCAAGCGGCCACCUGGCCAAGAGCUGACGCUGAGGCACGAGAGCGUGGGGAGCGAACCGG